CUCCGAAUCUGUGUCUGUGACGGCUCAGAAAUGAUGAUUUCUCUGUCAUAUCUGCUAUGUGCCCUGUGUCUUUACAUUCCAGGAUCCUGUGGACAGGCUGUAAUGACUCAGACUCCAGAUCAUACGUUGGUGUCCCCAGGAGAUACAGUCUCCAUCUCAUGUACGGCCAGUGAAAGUAUAUUCCAUUCAGUAUGGAAGUAUGACGCCUUAGCCUGGUUUCAGCAGAAAGCAGGACAACCUCCAAAACUAGUUAUGUAUAAAGUAUCUGAGCGACCAUCAGGAAUCCCAGAACGAUUUCAUGGAUCUGGAUCUGGAACUGAUUUCACCCUGACAAUGAAAGAGUUUACAGAAGACGAUGAAGCAGAUUAUUACUGUAUGCAGUACAGAACACGUGCUCGCACAGUGAUACAGAGCCGGACAAAAACCUCCUUCCUCUUUUUAGAAACACUACACGUGCUAUAG